rnacentral:rRNA from 1 species
GACGAACGCUGGCGGCGUGCCUAACACAUGCAAGUCGAACGGAGAUACGAUUUCGGUUGUAUCUUAGUGGCGAACGGGUGAGUAACGCGUGAGCAACCCGACCUUCAGAGGGGAGUAACACUUGGAAACAGGUGCUAAUACCGCAUAAGACCACGACCCGACAUCGGGAUGAGGUCAAAGGAGUAAUCCGCUGAGGGAGGGGCGUCGCGUCCCAUUAGAUAGACGGCGGGGUAACGGCCCACCAUGUCGACGAUGGGUAGCCGAGCUGAGAGGCUGAUCGGCCACACUGGAACUGAGACACGGUCCAGACUCCUACGGGAGGCAGCAGUGGGGAAUAUUGGGCAAUGGGCGCAAGCCUGACCCAGCAACGCCGCGUGAGGGAAGAAGGUCUUCGGAUUGUAAACCUCUGUCCUUGGUGACGAAACAAAUGACGGUAGCCAAGGAGGAAGCCCCGGCUAACUACGUGCCAGCAGCCGCGGUAAUGUCACAUG